CCGGUUGUGAUGGCGCCCAGCACACUACUAGGCAAGCCCGACCAUUAUUCAACACUUAACCCAAUUUAUCAAAAAUAGCGGAAAAAAAUAUCAAUUAAGCAAGAUUAAAGUACUGAAGAUUUUAACAAAAUACACAAUAUAAUCUCACUAGGACCCGGUGUCACAAAUCUGAGCCUCUAGAAUACAGAAUAUCAUCCUAAUACAUGGUAUAUCCAAAGUCUGAUAAUGCGGAAGUAAAGAGAUAGGAUAGGAGGGAGAAGAUCAAUGGCUGCAAACGCCGUGCAGCUACCUCGAUACUCCCAGAGGUUGGAUCUGCUGAUCAACUGGAUCUACUGAGCCUGAGACUGCCCUGGAUCUGCACACAAGGUGCAGGGAGUAAAGUGAGUACUCCGACCUAGUGAGUAAUAAAAGUAACUACAUUCCGAAGAUAAGAAAAUCCAGUAAAUACACAAAGUAAGCUAAAAUCCAAAUAUACAGCAACAUAUGGGACUGAGCAGCUAAACACCAGUAUAAAUACAAAUACAUGAAUGCAAUGCAAUGCAUAUGAUGGUACAUUCCAGUACCCCACUGCGGCGUGCAGCCCGGGCCAUCCAUAUUUAUUUAUCGUUGACGACGCUCACUGGGGGUGUGUACAGACUCCGGAGGGGCUCCUACAGCCCAAGCGCAAUAUUUUGGUCAGUCAUUGUUACCUGACCGGUCAGCCAUUGUUAUCUGACCAAUUUAUAUCAUACAGUGCCAUUGUUACCACUGAUUAAGUAUAUCAUCCAGUGUCAUUGUUACCACUAUUUCAAGUAUAUCACACAGUGUCAUUGUUACCACUGUGUCAAGUAUAUCAUACAGUGUCAUUGUUACCACUGUGUCAAGUCACUUUAUAAUCAGUCCAGAAAAUAAUAUAAUAAGCCCCUUGGGCAUUUACAAAACAGAAGUUCCCAGCCCGGAAUACAUUUAAAACCUUGGAAUGAAAUUAAAUGAUAUGCAAAUCAUGCUAAGCAGUAAUAUCAAUCCUCGAAGGAUUUUACAAAUCGGCACAAGGCCCCAAACAUGGCAUCAAGCUCAGUAAUAUCAAUGAAGUAUGUGUAUCAAUCACCAGUAUAGUAUAAACAUCACACGGGGUGGACCAAGUCACAAUCCCAAGUAGUAUUCGACCCCGCACUCGCCAUGGAGUGCGUGUCAUGCCUCAAUAUAGCAUUACGAUGUGAAAGUCCGGGGUUUCAAACCCUCAGAAUAGCAUUUACAUCUAUUACUCACCUCUAACCGGUCGUAGACUAGUCCGCAAUGCCUUUCCUCUUGAAUCGACUUCUUCGCGCGUCGAAUCUAGUCAAAACCACAACGAAUACGUUACAAUAGGCUAAGGGAAUAUAACCCAAUCGAAAAGACUCGAACAAUGUCAAAAAUCCCGAAAUUAGCAAAACCCGAGCCCCG
rnacentral:lncRNA from 1 species